rnacentral:rRNA from 1 species
UACAGAGACUGCAAGCGUUAUUCGGAUUCACUGGGCGUAAAGGGUGCGCAGGUGGCCAAGUGUGUCAGGUGUGAAAUCCCGGGGCUUAACCCCGGAACUGCGCCUGAAACUGCUUGGCUAGAGCAUUGGAGAGGGAAGUGGAAUUCACGGUGUAGCAGUGAAAUGCGUAGAUAUCGUGAGGAACACCAGAGGCGAAGGCGACUUCCUGGACAAUUGCUGACACUCAGGCACGAAAGCGUGGGUAGCCAAA